rnacentral:pre_miRNA from 1 species
GUAAUGAAAACUACCAUUGGAUAAAAAAAUGGACGUCCGAGAUUUGUUCACGUCACUAUGAGUAAUAAAUCCGUGAGUAAAUUUUUUACUCGUGAUGACGUGGACGAAUCUCGAACGUCUAUUUUUCGAUCAAGCGGUAGUUUCUAGGUUUCC